rnacentral:rRNA from 1 species
GCAGCCGCCGCCGUAAUACAGAGGGUGCGAGCGUUAAUCGGAUUUACUGGGCGUAAAGCGUGCGUAGGCGGCUAAUUGAGUCGGAUGUGAAAUCCCCGAGCUUAACUUGGGAAUUGCAUUCGAUACUGGUUAGCUAGAGUGUGGGAGAGGAUGGUAGAAUUCCAGGUGUAGCGGUGAAAUGCGUAGAGAUCUGGAGGAAUACCGAUGGCGAAGGCAGCCAUCUGGCCUAACACUGACGCUGAGGUACGAAAGCAUGGGGAGCAAACAGGAUUAGAUACCCCUGUAGUCCCUGUCUCUUAUAC